UACGGAGGAUGCGAGCGUUAUCCGGAUUUAUUGGGUUUAAAGGGUGCGUAGGCGGGCUUUUAAGUCAGCGGUAAAAAUUCGGGGCUCAACCCCGUCCGGCCGUUGAAACUGGGGGCCUCGAGUGGGCGAGAAGAAGGCGGAAUGCGUGGUGUAGCGGUGGAAUGCAUAGAUAUCACGCAGAACCCCGAUUGCGAAGGCAGCCUUCCGGCGCCCUACUGACGCUGAGGCACGAAAGUGCGGGGAUCGAACAGG
rnacentral:rRNA from 1 species